rnacentral:rRNA from 1 species
UACCAGUUGUCCGGCAGGGCAAUGCUGGGUAGCCACGCUCCAGUGGAUAAGAGCUGAAAGCAUCUAAGCUCGAAGUCAUCCGAAAGACGAGACACCUCAGGGGGCUCGUAGAAGACGAGUUUGAUAGACAGCGGGUGUAAGUACCGAGGUUUUC